rnacentral:lncRNA from 1 species
AUGGCUAUCAAUGAAAUCGCAAUGUGUUACUGUUGCCUUUCCAUUACCGCUGACACAAUUAUCACAUGGAAAAAAUACUGUUUUAUAGAGCCUGAGGUUCCUAAAGAAAAAGCUCCUGAACCAAAACUCAAAAGAGUACCUGAAGUCAUCAAAGAGAAAGUAAAACCAGCCCCUGAAAAGAAAGAGGCUGAAGUCAAGGAGAAAGCUAAACCAGCCCCUGAGAAGAAAGAGGCUGAAGUCAUCAAGGAGAAAGUUAAAACAGCUCCUGUAAAGAAAGAAGUCAUCAAGGAGAAACCUAAACCAGUGCCUGAAAAGAAAGCUGACGUCAUCAAGGAGAAAGUUAAACCGGCUCCUGUAAAGAAAGGGCCUGAAGUUGCUAAAGAAAAGGUACCUGAACCGGCACCAAGAAUAGGUGAGAUUUCCACAUACAAAACUGAGAAAAAUAUUUCAUAUUCAAAAGCUAAAGAUGUUAAGAAUGUAUUAAACUUCAUUGUUAGGUAUUCUUCGAACUUAAAUAUUUACCCGAUAUUUUAUUUUAUUCUUUUUUUUUUUUAUUACAGCACCUGA